UUUUGAUCCAACAAUCUUCAUUGCAAUCUAAUGAUCCAGUCGUGAGAAUUCCUCCUUUGAAGUUGAAUGAUCCAAACUGCCAUGGUGACCAACUCUCUUCACUUAGAAAUUCACUAAAAAUUCAGAUUGUCUUCAAAUUCAACAAAACUUAUGCCUUUUAGAGUUUAGCUUAUAAAGCUUGAUUCCCACAAAAUUUCAAAUAAAUCCAAUCACCAGGCAUUGAGAAAUGCCUUUCCAAACUCGAUUGAUUCAAACUGCAAAGGCAGUCGACUCCCUCAAACUCAAAAAUUCACUAAAAAUUCUUUCUUACUCCAAAUCAAGCAAGUCUUAUCUUGUUGGAAAGCUAACAACAAAAGCUACAACUACUCAGAAUCUCACAUUGAAACAACAGAAAUUGAGUGACUGAUUGAAGAAAAUCCGAGGCCCUUGAAACCCUUGGGGUAUUUGAAAGGCCGAUGAAAUAUCUACCUCAAUGAAACAUUUUUUAAAACUUAAUGACCAUCCUUCACAAUGCAAAAUCCAUACCUACACAAUCACAAGGUUCACAAUGAGAAUUAAAAUCUAAAUAAAAUUAUGAUUAGGGUUUUGGCCAAAUUUUGGUAUGGCUCCACCCUUCACCCAAAAGAGGAGAGAGAGAG
rnacentral:lncRNA from 1 species